rnacentral:rRNA from 1 species
UACGGAGGGUGCAAGCGUUGUCCGGAAUUAUUGGGCGUAAAGAGCUCGUAGGCGGUUUGUCGCGUCUGCUGUGAAAACUGGGGGCUCAACCCCCAGCCUGCAGUGGGUACGGGCAGACUAGAGUGCGGUAGGGGAGAUUGGAAUUCCUGGUGUAGCGGUGGAAUGCGCAGAUAUCAGGAGGAACACCGAUGGCGAAGGCAGAUCUCUGGGCCGUAACUGACGCUGAGGAGCGAAAGCAUGGGGAGCGAACAGG